GAGGGAUGUUGCGCAGAGACUAAGAGCAUAGGUUUCAGAAUUAGUAUCAGCCGAAGUACGAGUUUUAAUUUGACCACUUAAAAGCUGGUGGCUGAAAGUCAAUCCCUAUCUUCUUUAAACCUCAGGGUCCUCAUCGUUAAAGGAAGAAUGGCUCUAUCUAAACCACAGCCUUGUUUUGCGAGUUGAAUGAUAGGGUAUGCAUAAAUGGUUCAGCACAGCUCCCAGCACACAGGAAGUGAUCAUUACGAGGACUACUGCUUUUACCCUCGCCUCUGUCAUGAUCCUCAGCCUUCUGGCUGCGGUCCUCAGUGCAAGCUGCAGAUUCAGUGAACAAAACACCAAAGUGCCUCAUUAUAAAAUUCUCUCCUCUGUGGAGACAUUUCCCCGUGGACCCAGGGCUUUCAGAGUGAAAUGA
rnacentral:lncRNA from 1 species